GGCCUGGCUGGGCGGUCCGCCUAACGGCGUUGUACUGUCCGGACGGGCCUUACUUCUUGGUGAACCUGCGUGCCCUUCACUGGGUGCGUAGGGGAACCAGGACUUUUACCUUGAGAAAAUUAGAGUGUUCAAAGCAGGCCUAUGCUCGAAUACAUUAGCAUGGAAUAAUAAAAUAGGACGUGCGGUUCUAUUUUGUUGGUUUCUAGAGUCGCCGUA
rnacentral:rRNA from 1 species